ACGUAGGUGGCAAGCGUUGUCCGGAAUUACUGGGUGUAAAGGGAGCGUAGGCGGGGAGACAAGUUGAAUGUUUAAACUAUCGGCUCAACUGAUAGUCGCGUUCAAAACUAUCACUCUUGAGUGCAGUAGAGGUAGGCGGAAUUCCUAGUGUAGCGGUGAAAUGCGUAGAUAUUAGGAGGAACACCAGUGGCGAAGGCGGCCUACUGGGCUGUAACUGACGCUGAGGCUCGAAAGCGUGGGUAGCAAACAG
rnacentral:rRNA from 1 species